UUCCUUCAAAAGUAUGUAGACAACAGCUGGUGCUACUUGAAGUCACCCAUAAGGACAAGGAUGGCUAUUCUAGAGGUGUCCCUUAAUUCCUUAAAGAGUAAUCCAUCCUGUCUGGGUGGCCUAUAACAGACUCUCUCAGUGACAUCCACUUUCUUUCCUUGUCCCUUAAUCCUUACCCACAGGCUCUCAACCAUGGCACUGCCAACUGCAAGCUCUGUACAGCCCAACCCCUACCUCAUGCACAGAACUGCUCUUCCUACCAGAUUUUGCUUAUCACAAUGAUGCUGUAGAUCUGGGACUGAGCUAAGGCUUCUUGCUCCUCUUGUUUGUUCAUCUUUCUGCACGCAUUGGUGCAGAAACAUUUCAAAUAUGCUUUGUUGUACCAAGCACCUCAUGGAGCAGAAUGAAGGAUCUCACUAGCACACAGCCCCUUGAAUUCUGCAGCGCCAUCCGUCCUGAUCCAAUAAACCUGCUUCCCAGAAGGAACUAGUUAGAUUGGGCACAGAAACAUUCUGGGAGUCCACAAAUUCUGGCAGAAAGCUUCACUGUGACAUAGAAAUGUAUUUAUAAUGAAGAAAACUGGAGCUGCAUAGGAUGGUCUGUGUUACAGAAGGAGUUAUGCUCAGUCCCCUUGAAGAGCCUGGAUGCUGCUUUGACAUUAGAACAAGGAUUGUGACAGAGUGUGACCUUGCAAACAGAACCCCUGAGUUUGUUAUGGCAACAGGGCUGUUAUGAAGUCAGCUAACAACAGAAUCUCCUGCAAUCAUAGUGUUCUUUGGGACAGCUGAUUUCAAGUUUUCUAUAUGGAAAUCUUGUGAAGAGAAGAACAUCCCUGGAGAUACUUUGAUGUCAGUGGAAGACUCUCAUGUUCAGAAAGGAUCUCUGUUUGCCGAAGACCAGGAAAUAUAAGGAGAUUUGGAAGAAUUCAGCAAUCUAGAGCAACUCAUACAUUCCUUCCAAACAACUGUGGAAAAACUAGAGGAGAAAGCAAAAAAUGUGGAACUUAUAUUACAGGAAGCCCAGAAUAACGAUAACAAGAAGCAGUAGCAAGUAAAGAUACAGGGAGCCAUGAGAGACAUGCCAACAUCAUCUGUCAUCUCAGACAAUACAACUGAGAACAUGGAUGCUGAGAGUCAUAUGGCACACUUGGAUGUGAAGGGAAGAACCUGUGCUUUGCAGUUAGAAGUAUCCACCAAUGUGGAGGAGCUGUAAAAGCUUUGCUGCAAGCGGGUCACAGCUGCUGACAUUGAACUUGAGAGGGUAUGGUGGAAUUUUGUGCUGACUAGGCUGAAAUAUGAACAUGAGGAUAAUUACAAACAAAGGCUUCAUGAAGAGAGAAUGGUGCAGGUUCAUCAACAGGUCGUUAAAAGAUCAGUAAGCAGGAAAAAGAGACAGGGUUGAAUCCAAUAGAGAUUGAAAUAUUCGAUUUCUGUGUUAAGCACUUCGGAAAGUUUUAUUCUUUUGUGUGUUGAGUAGUACUGUCACUUCUUUUAAAGUUAGGCUUCAGAAGGUGAUCCUUAAAGCUUGUACAUGUACUUACAGAGAUGGGUUCUUCUCCCUAGAACAUGAACAAUAGUAACAUUCACUGCAACAAAAAAUAUUAAAGAACAGCUCACUCACAAAUUAAGUUCAUGAAGUAAGGAUCCACAAACACUUUUUUUUUCUUAUUCUUUCCCCCUGAAUGACAGAGUUCUUGACCUGAAUGCCACAUUAGUCAUUGUAGAAGUUUCCUGCCUCUACAGUAGGAUCAAUUUCCUGAGUUACAUUUGGAUGAUUCAGAGAGGAAAUGCAUGAGUAAAUGCAUAGAUGAAAAAAUCCAUCAAAACAAUACAACCAAUCAGUUUUUCAAGACUGCUUUUUACAGAAGUAGCUGAAGUUAUCAUAUGUUCAAUAUUUAUUCUGUUGUUAAUAGCAGUCCAGUCUGAAAGACAUCACUUGGCAGUUUAGCAAACAGGACAGCUACAAAUCCUGGUUGUCAGGGCUUUCCCUGAGAAACCUCCUACUGUCAUUGGAUUGAGUUAGAGAAUAAACAGAGUAUCUGGAUUUAAAUCACACGUUUUAGAGGUACUCAUACGUUUGUCUUCACUUGCAUGUUCUGUGCUUUAAAUCAGGACAGAAUAGAAGGAUGUUUUAUGCAGUAUUCAUAGCACUUGUGUUGUACAUAGCUCAGGUCAUGUGCAAGAAUGGCACUCCGGUAAGCUCCAUAGAAUCCCUAAAAUUUUCUAGUGUCAAUUAAGAGAAAUACAGAUGAAGUUCUGUUUUGCUAUUGUGUUCUUUUUCAUU